AUUUCACAGUACUUUCUUUUCUCGUCGAACUUGAUAUGGUGCAGCAACGUUUGACUGUCCUGAAAUGCUGUCAUACAAAUCUUGCAGGUGUAUUUCCCUACUGAUCGAGGCAUACGGUUCAACAGACUUUCCACAGACUUUACAGACAUUAUUGAAAAACAUGUCAGCAGGCUGUGAAGAGGUUUGUUCUGCAAGAGCAUGGCAGGUAACGAUAUGUUCCGUUACUUGAUUUCGCGUUUCAAAAUACUUUAAGCACACUUUACAUUGCUCCACAAACCCGUGAAAGUCUCUCAGAUGGAUGUCCAUGCAGAAGUUUUCAACUAAGGCUCCGCAUACGUUGCAAGUCUCUUUGGAUAUUGAAACCUCUGAAUGGUCUAUCAAAAAGAAUAAACAAAUAGUCAAUAAAGUGAUGUACGACAA